UUGUUUAAUUUGUAAAAGUAAUUGACUGACAAGUUUAAAAGUUGGGUUCUUCGGCGGGCGCGCAUCCGCUCGAGAGCCGAUGGAGGCGAACCUCGUCCCGCCGAAGCAAAACAAUUGUAACAACAAAGUGUGAGAGGCAUCUGAGUUACCAGAUGUGUCCUCGGUAAUGAUCCUUCCGCAGGUUCACCUACGGAAA
rnacentral:misc_RNA from 1 species